UACGUAGGGUGCAAGCGUUAAUCGGAAUUACUGGGCGUAAAGCGUGCGCAGGCGGCUUUGCAAGCCAGAUGUGAAAUCCCCGGGCUAAACCUGGGAACUGCAUUUGUGACUGCAAGGCUGGAGUGCGGCAGAGGGGGAUGGAAUUCCGCGUGUAGCAGUGAAAUGCGUAGAUAUGCGGAGGAACACCGAUGGCGAAGGCAAUCCCCUGGGCCGGCACUGACGCUCAUGCACGAAAGCGUGGGGAGCAAACAGG
rnacentral:rRNA from 1 species